GGAGUCUGGGCCGUGUCUCAGUCCCAAUGUGGCCGUCCAUCCUCUCAGACCGGCUACUGAUCGUUGCCUUGGUGGGCCUUUACCUCGCCAACUAGCUAAUCAGUCGCGGGCCCAUCCUACAUCGCCGGAACUUUUCCAACCGGAACAUGCGUCCCUGUUGGCUUAUGCGGUAUUAGCAUACAUUUCUAUAUGUUAUCCCCCGGUGUAGGGUAGGUUACCCACGUGUUACUCACCCGUCCGCCGCUAGGUCGGGGCCGAAGCCCCUCCCUCGCUCGACUUGCAUGUGUUAAGCGUGCCGCCAGCGUUCAUC
rnacentral:rRNA from 1 species